rnacentral:rRNA from 1 species
AUCAACUUUCGAUGGUCGGAUAGAGGCCUACCAUGGUGGUAACGGGUAACGGGGUGUUAGGGCACGACACCGGAGAGGGAGCCUGAGAAACGGCUACCACAUCCAAGGAUGGCAGCAGGCGCGCAAAUUACCCAAUCCCGACACGGGGAGGUAGUGACAAUAAAUAACAAUACGGGGUUCUUUCGGAUUUCGUAAUUGGAAUGAGUACAAUUUAAAUCUCUUAACGAGGAACAAUUGGAGGGCAAGUCUGGUGCCAGCAGCCGCGGUAAUUCCAGCUCCAAUAGCGUAUAUUAAAGUUGCUGCAGUUAAAAAGCUCGUAGUUGAAUUUCGGGACCAUCAUAUCGGUCGUGCCUCGGUACGUACUGGCAUUGUUGGUUUCUCCCUUCUGACGAACCAUGAUGUCAUUUAUUUGGUGUUGUGGGGAAUCAGGACUGUUACUUUGAAAAAAUUAGAGUGUUUAAAGCAGGCUCACGCUUGAAUACAUUAGCAUGGAAUAAUGAUAUAGGACGUUUGAUUCUAUUUUGUUGGUUUCUAGGAUCGACGUAAUGAUUAAUAGGGAUAGUUGGGGGCAUUAGUAUUCAAUUGUCGGAGGUGAAAUUCUUGGAUUUAUUGAAGACUAACUACUGCGAAAGCAUUUGCCAAGGAUGUUUUCAUUAAUCAAGAACGAAAGUUAGGGGAUCGAAGACGAUCAGAUACCGUCGUAGUCUUAACCAUAAACUAUGCCGACUAGGGAUCGGAUGAUGUUAAUUUUUUAAUGACUCAUUCGGCGCCUUACGGGAAACCAAAGUGUUUGGGUUC